GACGAACGCUGGCGGCGUGCCUAAUACAUGCAAGUUGAGCGCUGAAGGUUGGUCCUUGUACCAACUGGAUGAGCAGCGCACGGGUGAGUAACGCGUGGGGAAUCUGCCUUUGAGCGGGGGACAACAUUUGGAAACGAAUGCUAAUACCGCAUAAAAACUUUAAACACAAGUUUUAAGUUUGAAAGAUGCAAUUGCAUCACUCAAAGAUGAUCCCGCGUUGUAUUAGCUAGUUGGUGAGGUAAAGGCUCACCAAGGCGAUGAUACAUAGCCGACCUGAGAGGGUGAUCGGCCACAUUGGGACUGAGACACGGCCCAAACUCCUACGGGAGGCAGCAGUAGGGAAUCUUCGGCAAUGGACGAAAGUCUGACCGAGCAACGCCGCGUGAGUGAAGAAGGGUUUCGGAUCGUAAAACUCUGUUGGUAGAGAAGAACGUUGGUGAGAGUGGAAAGCUCAUCAAGUGACGGUAACUACCCAGAAAGGGACGGCUAACUACGUG
rnacentral:rRNA from 1 species